rnacentral:rRNA from 1 species
GACGUAGGUGGCGAACGUUAUCCGGAAUCAUUGGGCGUAAAGGGUGCGUAGAUGGCAUAGUAAGUUAUUGGUGGAAAAUCGAGGCUCAACCUCGUGGAAGCUGGUAAUACUGCUAUGCUAAGAGUUCAGGAGAGGUUAACGGAACUCCAUGUGGAGCGGUAAAAUGUGUAGAUAUGACAUAGAACACCAAUUGCGUAGGCAGCUUACUACACGAUCAUUGACGCUGAGGCACGAAAGCGUGGGGAGCAAACAGG